UUACGGUCAUAUCACGUUGAAACACUGGCACCCGUACGAUCACCGAAGGUGAGCAAUGUCGAGCCAGGUCAGUAGUUAGAUGGUUAACCGCUUGGGAGGACCAGAUGCCGUAUG